rnacentral:rRNA from 1 species
UACGAAGGGGGCUAGCGUUGUUCGGAAUUACUGGGCGUAAAGCGCACGUAGGCGGACAUUUAAGUCAGGGGUGAAAGCCCCCAGCUCAACUGGGGAAGUGCCUUUGAUACUGGUGGUCUCGAGGGGGAUAGGGGCAUGCGGAACUUCCGGUGGAGCGGUGAAAUGCGUAGAUAUCGGAAGGAACACCGGUGGCGAAAGCGGCGUGCUGGAUCCCUUCUGACGCUGAGGCGCGAAAGCCAGGGGAGCGAACGGG